rnacentral:lncRNA from 1 species
AAAAACCACUUGCUUCCAUCGAAAAUCGAAUGAGUCCCAAUCCAAUGAAUCACGCGCCACAACCUUCUUAUAAAUACUCCCUCAAAUUCUUCACCCUUUUUCACUUUCCUCUCUCACACAAAAAUUCCCAACCGCAACAAUUACACUUUUACCCUCGCCGCAACCGCAAACUUCAUCGCCGCCGGCGGAACAUGAUCGUUAGAGAAACGACGUUGAAACGAGAAAUCAAAAGAGUAUGGUUCGUUGUUUCAGCUUAGGUUCCGUUUUGAUUCUGAUCGCACUUGCAGCGUCUAUGGUUGUUCUUCCUUUGAUGCUUCCGCCGCUACCUCCACCGCCGUUGGCUCUUCUUUUCUUCCCGGUCGGAAUCAUGGCGGCGCUUGUUGUUCUCGCUUUCUCACCUUCGGAGAAUGUUAAAAACGUCGUCGUUUAUUCUUCUUCUUCUUCAGGAAUCGCGAAUUCGAAACGGUGAAAUCGUUGGAUCUGUGAUACAUUUUCAGUUUCUUGAAUGUUCCGAUCGGUUUCUGAUUUGAUUUUAAUUUUAAUGAUUUUUUUGUUUUGUUACGUUGUUGAUAUUAUUAUUGUUAUGAAAGAAAAUUGUAAAAGGAAAAUAGUAGAAAGGGAAGAUUCAUUGUAUCAUUGCGGCUUAGAAGAUUAGUGGUAUUAAUUAAUUAAUUAAUUAAUGUAAGAUUAGUAUUAUAUUAUUCUUUUGUAAUUGUGAGUUAGGAUUACCUAAGUUUUCUCCGAUUAGGAGAAAACUUAGGUGCAAUUCCUUAGGUGCUUUUCGUAUGGUUCUUAACUAAAUUCACCAUGAUUUCCUUAAAUCCAUAAUUUUCUCAAAGUUUGUUAUAUCCAAAAAAUAUGUAUUUUUAGUUAAGAACCAUACGAAAAGUACCUAAGAAAUUGUACCUAAGUUUUCUCCUUAGGAUUAUUUAUUAUACGUUUACUACUUUUUGAGAAUUGAUUUAAAAUAAUUUUUGACUAAUUGUCUAGUUUUAGUAUUCCUGCAGCUGCCGACCGGCUGCUAAUCCAAUAUUGCUGAGAAAUAUUACUAUUUAAAGUAUACUUGUAAUGGAAGUUUAAACUAUACUUUUUCUCUUCUUUUCUAAUAAUUUAUCCUGUUUGAUUUGUUUAUUGACGUCAUGACCGGUCGAAGGGUCAAGUCACCCAAAUAAAGGCUUUAGACCUAAGAUUUUGAGUUAUAAAAAAGCUUUAAAAUAAGUCAAUUUAGCUAUAAGUAUAUAAUAUGAU